GGCCUGAUGGUGUAACGGUAACACAUCCCCUCUCAUUGAACAGAUCUUCUUGAACAAUUUAACGGGAAGACCCUUGUUCAAUUCAAGGUCAGGCCA